UAGUCGCGACGUAGUUGAUCAUGGCUCGAGGACGAACGCUGGCGGCGUGCCUAACACAUGCAAGUCGAACGAAGCAUUUAAGUGGAUCCCUUCGGGGUGAAGGUUUUAUGACUUAGUGGCGGACGGGUGAGUAACGCGUGAGUAACCUGCCUUUCAGAGGGGGAUAACAGUUGGAAACGACUGCUAAUACCGCAUAACGUAUUUGAAUCGCAUGAUUCGGAUACCAAAGCUGAGGCGCUGAAAGAUGGACUCGCGUCUGAUUAGAUAGUUGGUGGGGUAACGGCCUACCAAGUCGACGAUCAGUAGCCGGACUGAGAGGUUGAUCGGCCACAUUGGGACUGAGACACGGCCCAGACUCCUACGGGAGGCAGCAGUGGGGAAUAUUGGGCAAUGGGGGCAACCCUGACCCAGCAACGCCGCGUGAAGGAAGAAGGCUUUCGGGUUGUAAACUUCUUUUACCAGGGACGAAGAAAGUGACGGUACCUGGAGAAAAAGCCACGGCUAACUACGUG
rnacentral:rRNA from 1 species